AGAGUUUGAUCCUGGCUCAGGACGAACGCUGGCGGCGUGCCUAAUACAUGCAAGUCGAGCGAACUGAUUAAGAAGCUUGCUUCUUAAGACGUUAGCGGCGGACGGGUGAGUAACACGUGGGCAACCUGCCCUAUAGUUGGGGAUAACUCCGGGAAACCGGGGCUAAUACCGAAUGAUACAUUUUAACUCCUGUUAGAAUGUUGAAAGAUGGUUUACGCUAUCGCUAUAGGAUGGGCCCGCGGCGCAUUAGCUAGUUGGUGAGGUAACGGCUCACCAAGGCGACGAUGCGUAGCCGACCUGAGAGGGUGAUCGGCCACACUGGGACUGAGACACGGCCCAGACUCCUACGGGAGGCAGCAGUAGGGAAUCUUCCACAAUGGGCGAAAGCCUGAUGGAGCAACGCCGCGUGAGUGAAGAAGGUUUUCGGAUCGUAAAACUCUGUUGUAAGGGAAGAACAAGUACAGUAGUAACUGGCUGUACCUUGACGGUACCUUAUUAGAAAGCCACGGCUAACUACGUGCCAGCAGCCGCGGUAAUACGUAGGUGGCAAGCGUUGUCCGGAUUUAUUGGGCGUAAAGCGCGCGCAGGUGGUUUCUUAAGUCUGAUGUGAAAGCCCACGGCUCAACCGUGGAGGGUCAUUGGAAACUGGGAGACUUGAGUGCAGAAGAGGAAAGUGGAAUUCCAAGUGUAGCGGUGAAAUGCGUAGAGAUUUGGAGGAACACCAGUGGCGAAGGCGACUUUCUGGUCUGUAACUGACACUGAGGCGCGAAAGCGUGGGGAGCAAACAGGAUUAGAUACCCUGGUAGUCCACGCCGUAAACGAUGAGUGCUAAGUGUUAGGGGGUUUCCGCCCCUUAGUGCUGCAGCUAACGCAUUAAGCACUCCGCCUGGGGAGUACGGUCGCGAGACUGAAACUCAAAGGAAUUGACGGGGGCCCGCACAAGCGGUGGAGCAUGUGGAUUAAUUCGAAGCAACGCGAAGAACCUUACCAAGUCUUGACAUCCCGAUGACCGGAACUUAACCGUUCCUUCUCUUCGGAGCAUCGGUGACAGGUGGUGCAUGGUUGUCGUCAGCUCGUGUCGUGAGAUGUUGGGUCAAGUCCCGCAACGAGCGCAACCCCUGUCCUCAGUAGCCAGCAUUCAAGAUGGGCACUCUGGGGAGACCGCCAGGGACAACCUGGAGGAAGAUGGGGAUGACGUCAAAUCAUCAUGCCCCUUAUGACUUGGGCUACACACGUGCUACAAUGGCGUGGAACAAAGGGAAGCGAAAGGGCGACCUGAGCAAAUCUCUCAAAACACGUCCCAGUUCGGACUGUAGUCUGCAACCCGACUACACGAAGCUGGAAUCGCUAGUAAUCGCGGAUCAGAAUGCCGCGGUGAAUACGUUCCCGGGUCUUGCACACACCGCCCGUCA
rnacentral:rRNA from 1 species